rnacentral:ncRNA from 1 species
GGUUAAGCGACCAAGCGUAUACGGUGGAUGCCUUGGCAGUCAGAGGCGAUGAAGGACGUAGUAACUUGCGAAAAGCGUUGGUGAGCUAGUAACAAGCAUUUGAGCCAGCGAUGUCCGAAUGGGGAAACCCGGCACCAUAAGGUGUCAUCAAUACGUGAAUACAUAGCGUAUUGAGGCGAACGAGGGGAACUGAAACAUCUAAGUACCCUCAGGAAAAGAAAUCAACCGAGAUUCCCCAAGUAGCGGCGAGCGAACGGGGAUUAGCCCUUAAGUCUUUGGGGUGUUAGUGGAAUGUGUUGGAAAGCACAGCGGCACAGGGUGAUAGCCCCGUACAUGUAAACUAACCAGAGAUGAAAACGAGUAAGGCGGCACACGUGAUAUGUUGUCUGAAUAUGGGGGGACCAUCCUCCAAGGCUAAAUACUCCUGACUGACCGAUAGUGAACCAGUACCGUGAGGGAAAGGCGAAAAGAACCCCUGUGAGGGGAGUGAAAUAGAACCUGAAACCGUAUACGUACAAGCAGUGGAAGCGGUACUUGAGACCGUGACUGCGUAC